UUUUUUUUUUUUUGCUAGUAAGCCCAUUCCCAGAUUGCACUUCUCCUUUUGCAUCUGAAUCAACCGCCAACCAAAAAGGUAAAAAGAUGAUAUCAACCACAUUGCACACCCAGCAAGCACAAAACCAAAGCAUGGAUUGCACAGAAAAAACAAAUAACAGCUGGGAAGGAGUUGCAAUACCUGAAUACGGGUGAGCAUCCUCGUCAGGGUGGCGCCCUUGAUGUCCGCUAAUGGCUUCUGCACCGCAGUCCCUAUAUCCAUCAAACAUGACAUGCAUUUUUGUACCUAUGACAGAUCGCACUUGAACAAAAUCAUCGUUUACCAAACCGGGAACCUGCUAAGAAGAAGAGGACAUUAAUGUUCUGACAUGCUCAAGUUGUUUCUUCGGCCUCGUGUGACAUGAUCUAUAAGUUUCAAACAUCACUUGCACACACAUUUUAGUAGCAACCAACUGACGGUAAAAGAAAAGGAAAUUGCUCAAUGUGCCUCACAGGGCCCUGUGCAACGAUGGCACUCUGCUGCAUACUAAGAUACACACUUGAAAACCACAGGCACUAAACAGAAAGUCAAGGAAGUACGGCUGCAGCCGAAACUGCAAGUCAAAAUCACUAUAAUCCAUAUUACCCUUGGAAACAAUUUGACAAACACUUGGCCGACAUGAAUUGCUGACAUGUAAAAAUUCAAUGCAGUGGGUAAAUGCCUCUUAGGACCAAGCCGAAACAUAGCAGUGAUGGUGCUGGGCUUACCCAAUCUCACACAUCCAUCGGGGGCAG
rnacentral:lncRNA from 1 species